GACGAACGCUGGCGGCGUGCUUAACACAUGCAAGUCGAACGGAAAGGCCCUGCUUUUGUGGGGUGCUCGAGUGGCGAACGGGUGAGUAACACGUGAGUAACCUGCCCUUGACUUUGGGAUAACUUCAGGAAACUGGGGCUAAUACCGGAUAGGAGCUCCUGCUGCAUGGUGGGGGUUGGAAAGUUUCGGCGGUUGGGGAUGGACUCGCGGCUUAUCAGCUUGUUGGUGGGGUAGUGGCUUACCAAGGCUUUGACGGGUAGCCGGCCUGAGAGGGUGACCGGCCACAUUGGGACUGAGAUACGGCCCAGACUCCUACGGGCGGCAGAAGUGGGGAAUAUUGCACAAUGGGCGGAAGCCUGAUGCAGCAACGCCGCGUGCGGGAUGACGGCCUUCGGGUUGUAAACCGCUUUCGCCUGUGACGAAGCGUGAGUGACGGUAAUGGGUAAAGAAGCACCGGCUAACUACGUG
rnacentral:rRNA from 1 species